GUAGGGAAGUGGAAGAGCCACACAUUCCUGUUGGACGAUAAACGGAAGUGAAGAGAUGGCUGUUGGAGUUGUUGUUGUCAGUUCUAAUAAAAAUGACAGACUUGAUGAAGGAGAGCAGUUGUUGGUUGAUCUGUGCGACACCGAGGAGCAGCUGGGGAACAUGACUGUGAGGGAACUGAGGGAGAAGAUUAACAACAAGCUGUUACAGGAGUUUCCACCCAAAUCAGGUUGUUAUGCUGGAUCGGUCGAUGAAGUGCACUUUAAGGAACAAAAGCUGGAGGAAGACUCCUUUCUGUCCGACCAUGGAAUACAGCACAUGUCCAUGGUUGAAGUAAAAAUUUCUAGUUCUAUACUAGAGAGUGAUUUUUUGGGAGAUUUGAUCAAUGGAAUAGAAUUUCCUGAGGACAAAAAAGAUAAGAGACGCAGAAGCAAAGAUAUUUUUUUCAAUAUGGAACAGCCAUUAAAUUUUUCUGGGGAACAAGAAAGGCGCGGCUCUUCUAAAGGUUGCUGUUUGUCUUAAACCUGCUUUUGUGCUACAGCACUAACAGGAAUCCAGAUCAGUUGAUGCUUCAAUGAUUUCUAAAGGAAAUCAGCAGAAUACUUAAAA